AUUGAACGCUGGCGGCAUGCCUUACACAUGCAAGUCGAACGGCAGCACGGGUGCUUGCACCUGGUGGCGAGUGGCGAACGGGUGAGUAAUACAUCGGAACAUGUCCUGUAGUGGGGGAUAGCCCGGCGAAAGCCGGAUUAAUACCGCAUACGAUCUACGGAUGAAAGCGGGGGACCUUCGGGCCUCGCGCUAUAGGGUUGGCCGAUGGCUGAUUAGCUAGUUGGUGGGGUAAAGGCCUACCAAGGCGACGAUCAGUAGCUGGUCUGAGAGGACGACCAGCCACACUGGGACUGAGACACGGCCCAGACUCCGACGGGAGGCAGCAGUGGGGAAUUUUGGACAAUGGGCGAAAGCCUGAUCCAGCAAUGCCGCGUGUGUGAAGAAGGCCUGCGGGUUGUAAAGCACUUUUGUCCGGAAAGAAAUCCUUGGCUCUAAUACAGUCGGGGGAUGACGGUACCGGAAGAAUAAGCACCGGCUAACUACGU
rnacentral:rRNA from 1 species